AUUCAUCUGACGACUCCCAAGUAGGAGGAAAUGCGCAUCCUGAAU
rnacentral:hammerhead_ribozyme from 1 species